GUCAAUUGAUAUUUACGACUUCAAUUAAUUGUAUAAACAUAAACUUGAUUUACCAUUUACUCAUUUAAUUGAUGUCGUUUCCAUUUUAAAACUAAAACUAUGUCUUAGACGAAAGUCGCUGCCCUUAAGCUCAUAGAGCUAUAUGGACACCAUCCAAAUUUGUACGAAACUACAUCUACAAAGUACAAAAAUAAACACGUACGGUCGAGUUUCCUAGAAGCCAUUCGAAAUGAACUACAGUUACUGAAAUAAAAGCAAAGUAUAACAUAAUGCGUCAGACCUACAUACAAGAGAGGAAAAAAGUAGUGACUUCCAAAAAAAGUGGUGCUGGUGCAGCUGAUGUUUAUAUUCCAAAUUUGUAUUAUUUUGAAGUAAUAGAUAAAUUACUUAGAGGAAGUGGCAUAUACCCUAGGGUCUCAACUGAUACAAUUAUUGAUGAACUUUACGAUAUUUCAUCAGACAAUGAGAACGUAAAUAAUAAGUCACACUAUUUGUAGUUGUGCAACAAGUUAUUAUUAUAUAAUAUUGGAAUUUACUGAAAUGGAUGAUGACGGUUCCAUAAGUCCAGCUAUUAAUAGUCCCGUCACUAGUCAUAUAGCUACGACAUUACAAUCGAAAACCCCAGAGGUUUAAAAAAAAUUUCUUCCUGGGGACAAAAUUUUGGAAGAUGCUUCAGCAGUAAUGCCAUGGAACAAAUGCAACAAAAAACUCCAAAGGAUUGGUUUGAUGUCUUUGGUGAAUAAUAUAUUGCCAUGCGAUUAAGAACCAUCUCUGAUGAGGCUAUUUAGAAUGAAGCUGAAUUAAAUGUAAUCAAUAUUAUUAGUAAUAUAUGACAAUGAAAAAUAAGAACAAUAAAACUACAUAAUAUAACUUGAA